UGGAUCCAGAGCUUGCUCUCAUGAAGUUAGCGGCGGACGGGUGAGUAACACGUGGGUAACCUGCCCAUAAGACUGGGAUAACUCCGGGAAACCGGGGCUAAUACCGGAUAACAUUUUGAACCGCAUGGUUCCAAAUUGAAAGGCGGCUUCCGCUGUCACUUAUGGAUGGACCCGC
rnacentral:rRNA from 1 species